rfam:Dipodomys ordii contig_70164, whole genome shotgun sequence.
GGGAAUGUGGCUUAGUGGUAGAGUGCUUGCCUAGCAUGCAUGAAACCCUGGGUUCAAUUCCUCAGUUAUUACA